rnacentral:sRNA from 1 species
UUAACUCAAAUACUAAAUCACACACGUAUCGACACAUUCUUCGGGGUGCCCGCGGCUUGACCAAAGGGUCGAAGACAUGGGAUGCGUGGAGGUCUAAC